UACAGAGGGUGCAAGCGUUAAUCGGAAUUACUGGGCGUAAAGCGUGCGUAGACGGUUACAUAAGUCGGGUGUGAAAGCCCCGGGCUCAACCUGGGAAUUGCAUUCGAGACUGCGUAGCUAGGGUGCGGAAGAGGGAAGCGGAAUUUCCGGUGUAGCGGUGAAAUGCGUAGAUAUCGGAAGGAACACCAGUGGCGAAAGCGGCUUCCUGGUCCAGCACCGACGUUCAGGCGCGAAAGCGUGGGGAGCAAACAGG
rnacentral:rRNA from 1 species